rnacentral:lncRNA from 1 species
CAAACGCCAAACCCUCCUCUUUUCCCCAACUCUUCCCUCCUUUCUCUCUCUCUCUCUCUCUCUGAGAUUCUCGGAGGCGCAAAACUCAAAAACACACGAAAACAAAUAAACGCCUCCGUCCAAAUCCUUUAUCCCUUUACUUCUCCUUCCCCAAACCCUAAAGCUCCUCCGAUGGCCACGGAUCCUACCCAGCAGCAGCAACAACUGGCCAUAAUUCUGGGCCCCGACCCGACCCACUUCGAAACCCUAAUAUCUCAUCUUAUGUCCUCCAGCAACGACCAACGAUCCCAGGCCGAAGCCCUCUUCAACCUCUGCAAGCAGGCCCACCCGGACGCCCUCCUGCUCAAGCUCCUUCACGUCUUGCAGUCCUCGACCCGACCCGAGUCCAGGACCAUGGCCGUCAUCCUCCUCCGCCGCCAGCUCACCCACGAUGACUCCUUCCUCUGGCCCCGCCUCACCCCCAACACCCAGUCCACCCUCAAGUCCCUCCUCCUCUCCUCUCUCCAAUCCGAGUCCUCCAAAUCCAUGUCCAAGAAGCUCUGCGAUACCAUUUCCGAGCUCGCCUCCUCCGUUCUCCCCGAAAACCAGUGGCCCGAGCUUCUCCCUUUCAUGUUCCAGUGCGUCACCUCUGACAAUCCCAAACUCCAGGAAUCGGCUCUCUUGAUUUUCGCCCAAUUGGCGCAUUACAUCGGCGAAACCCUCGUUCCUCACUUGACUACCCUCCACGAGGUCUUCUUCCGGUGCCUGUCUACCUCCGCCAAGAGCGCCGACGUCAGAAUCGCUGCCCUCGGGGCGUCAGUGAAUUUCAUCCAGUGCUUGACUAGUGCGGCCGAGAGGGACAGGUUCCAGGACUUGUUGCCGCUGAUGAUGCAGACGUUGACCGAGGCGUUGAAUUGCGGGCAGGAGGCGACUGCGCAGGAGGCUCUGGAGUUAUUGAUUGAAUUGGCAGGGACUGAACCGAGGUUCUUGAGAAGGCAGUUGGUGGAUGUGGUGGGGUCCAUGCUUCAGAUUGCCGAGGCCGAGUCCUUGGAGGAAGGGACAAGGCAUCUGGCCAUUGAGUUUGUGAUUACCUUGGCCGAGGCCAGGGAGAGGGCACCUGGGAUGAUGAGGAAGUUGCCGCAGUUCAUUCAGAGGUUGUUUGCGAUUCUCAUGAACAUGUUGUUGGACAUUGAGGAUGAACCUGAGUGGCACGCUGCCGAUACAGAGAAUGAGGAUGCCGGGGAGACAAGCAAUUACGGGUUUGGACAGGAGUGUUUGGAUAGGCUCUCUAUUUCCCUGGGUGGGAAUACCAUUGUCCCAGUUGCUUCAGAGGUUUUCCCGGCUUUCUUGGCUGCUCCCGAGUGGAAAAAGCACCACGCCGCACACAUUGCCCUUGCUCAGAUUGCCGAGGGUUGCUCCAAGGUAUAAAUAACUCAUCCUUCGCUUUUGUGUUGCCAAUGUUGGAGCUUCUGCUUUGUGUAUAAGCGCUUACUUGAUUAGUUAUGUAUGUGAGCCGUGGACAGUAAUGUUAACGUGAGCCAUGGACGCAUUUGAUAUUGUAUUUUUCUUCAGGAUGAUUAGUCAUUACUGUAGGUGAUCUAAUGCCUUUCAUACACAGCUUCAUAAUGAAAUAACUUCUCACUUUAUUUAUGCAUGUAUUCCUCUGCUGGCUAUAUUAUUCUCUUCCGAGUGGCGUGCUCUAACAUUUGUACUUAUUGGCGCAGGUAAUGAUAAAGAACCUUGAACAGGUCGUGUCAAUGGUGUUGAAUUCAUUCCAAGAUCCCCAUCCGCGUGUGAGAUGGGCAGCAAUUAAUGCAGUUGGGCAAUUGUCAACGGAUUUAGGCCCAGAGUUACAAGUCCAGUAUCACCAGCGAGUGCUGCCUGCUUUGGCUGGAGCCAUGGAUGACUUCCAAAAUCCUCGAGUACAGGUUUGUAACACUGUCCUGUACUCAAUAGUAGGGCUUCCUUUCCCCAUCUUGUAGGGCUGUAUGUUCUUUUAACCCAACACCUCCUGCUUGAUAAAAUAAUGUUUAAUCAUCUUCAUUUUCAGUACUCUCAUUUUUGCUGCUGUCUUGGUAAAAUUUUAUCCUUCUUGUAAAGAUGAACUGAUUAGGCUAUGAUAUAUAGUAAUUUUGGAAAACCAAGCAUAAUUCAUGUAACUAUAUAUUUCGGUAACGGUGUCAUUGAAUGUUGAUUCUUAAUUUAGAUAAUAUGGUUCUGCAAAAUGAAUUGAUACCUGAUUCUUUGUAUGUUUUGUUAAUCACAGAAAUCAUAUUAAUUUAAUGUCUCCUAUUUUUUUGAGGGCAUAAUUGUUUUUUUUUUGUUUUUUUUGUUUUUUUUGCAGUUUCAUUUAUUUAUUUGUAAAUAACAACUUGCACACUAAUGCAUUUAUAAAUAUCUCCAAUACAGAAAAUUUCAUGCAACUGCAAAAUGUGAACCAUACAUUCUUAGGAAAAGAAUUAUAUGUUAUCUACAAUAAUAUUAUGCUCAUCCGACAAUAUGUAUCUCUAGCUCCUUCUUCAUGCUUCAAACAGAUGAAUUAAGCAUGCAACUUGAAAACAUCUUAUGCAUGUUUAGAUAAGGUUAGAAUCCUGAGCCUGAGAUGGCGGGUAUUUGGGCUUUACAGAACUUUAAUGGCACACAUCCUAAAACUUAUUUGGGCAUGAGUUCUGGAAAAAAUUUUUGUUUUUUUUUCAUCUUCAAAUGUCUGCUUCUGCAUUUUUUGGGAUGGUAGUAUUCCCCAUUCCCUCCUUGUUGAAGUACAUGUAUGGAAGAGUUCCCUUUAGGUUUGUCCUAUAAGUUUUGUGCAUGUUCUCCAUGAAAUUGCACUAACAGUUGAAACUAUGUUUUAAUUUUACAAGCAGUUUUGUGUUGACUCAAGUAUAUCCUUAAAAUCAUUAAAUUCAUUGAGUGGUGGCAAAAUCGCUACAUACGAUUAAUUUCUUGUUUAUUUAUACGUAGACACACCCUCUCCGUAGUUCUUGAUUUUCUAGACAUUUAUGAGUGAUGACAUUGAUGCUUCUGGUUUCACUCUGCACAUCAACUUGAUGGUUUUUCUUUAUUUCUAUGUUACAGGCCCAUGCUGCUUCAGCAGUACUCAAUUUCAGUGAAAAUUGCACCCCAGAUAUUUUGACACCAUACCUGGAUGGAAUUGUGAGCAAGCUUCUUGUACUUCUACAGGUACAUAAUCUUCCUAUUCAGCAAUUUCACAUAGAGAAUAUGUUUUUGGUGUAUAUGCUGGCAGAAGAUGUAUAUAUUAGUAUAUAAAUUAAAAGUGAUUGGUUGGUGAAACCACUUCAUAUUGGUACAAGAGCUGUAGUGGAAAAAUAUGUUGUAUCAGAUAAAUAUUGUGAUUAAUCAUUGCAUUCAUGGCUCUUUGUUUAGUCACUUUCAUAAUGUGAUGCAGUUAAUGUUUUAGUUAGGCAAUGAAUGGUUGUUCAUAUUUUGACUUUUGGUAGUUGCAAAGGAAACAUGGACUGGAGAACCUGAUUUUUUUGAAAAUAACACAGACCAGGGAAAAGAUGCUAGGGAAGAAACCAUGGAUAAGGAGCUGACCAAGAAUAGAAUUAAAAGACUGUUUUUAUGGUAGAAUAAGAUUGAUGGUUCUUUUAAGUUUAAGAAAAAGGAUUUUUGAGAUUUUUGAUUUUUAUUGUGUUUAGUCAGAAUGUCAGCAAUAUAAAUGGGAAAACAUCUUGUGGUGAGGCAGAGAAAAUAAAAGAGAAUAAGUUAAUGAGGCUUAUGACGGUGAUUAAGUUGAAAUUGAAAGCCAUUGAGUUAAAAAUUCGAAGAAAUAUCUUGCUUAACCUCUUUCCUUUGGUGUGGAGAAUCUUUCUCCUUCUUGGUGCAAAGGCGUACUUGCAUUUUUGAACUUAUAUGUUUUAUAUUUUUGUGUCCCAGAAUGGGAAGCAGAUGGUGCAGGAGGGUGCUUUAACAGCUCUAGCUUCAGUUGCCGAUUCGUCACAGGUACUUGCAUUUUAAAAUCCAUUAUUAGGUUGCCAAUUUCAGUUUAUUUAAGAACACAAUGAUCAGAUUUGACAUUUGUAUUUGUAUUUGUAUUUGCAGGAGCAAUUCCAGAAGUAUUAUGAUGCUGUAAUGCCUUACUUGAAAGCUAUCUUGAUUAAUGCUAAUGACAAAUCCAAUCGCAUGCUACGUGCCAAAUCCAUGGAGUGUAUUAGUUUGGUUGGAAUGGCUGUUGGAAAGGAUAAGUUCAGGGAUGACGCUAAGCAGGUGACGAUAAAUAACAUGUUAUACAUUAUCCUUGGUUUCAGAUUAAUGAUGAGAGAGAUCCACUAUUUAUUUAUUUAGUUAUUUAGCUGAUAUUCUGUUUGGUUAUUGAAAUAAUGGUGGCCCUAUUGUUUUGUUUUGUUUGGGAAGAUUAUGGAAGUCUUGAUGUCAUUGCAAGGAUCUCAAAUGGAGGCAGACGAUCCUACAACAAGUUACAUGUUACAAGUAAGUUCUUGUAACUUUGAGAAACAACAGCGAAAAUGUAGAAGAAUGUCCUGCGGAUUCUACAUAUGUAAACUGAAUAAACUAACUGCCUAAUCAUGUUUCAGGCAUGGGCCAGACUUUGCAAAUGCCUUGGACAGGAUUUUCUCCCUUAUAUGAAUGUUGUCAUGCCCUCUUUGCUUCAGUCUGCUCAACUGAAGCCUGAUGUGACAAUUACAUCUGCAGAUUCAGAUGCAGAUAUUGAUGAAGAUGAUGAUAGGUUGGUUGGUUAAAUUUCACCUUUUAAGACCUGAUAUAUGUAUUGUAUUUAGGAAAAACCACAAUUUCUUUCCUGGUAGUCUUGGAUGCUGUUCCUAAUUGUUUGUGCUAGAAAAAGGCACUUUUGAGAUCCUACUCAUUUGGCUGAAUAAUACUUUAUGGCAAAAAGUAUCUAUAAUUUCAGUUUUUGACAGGUUUUGUGUUCUUAAUGCAGCAUUGAAAUGAUUACUGUUGGUGAUAAAAGGAUAGGAAUUAGGACUAGUGUCCUGGAGGAAAAAGCUACGGCUUGUAACAUGCUAUGUUGCUAUGCUGAUGAAUUGAAGGAAGGGUUCUUCCCAUGGAUUGAUCAGGUUGAUGAUGAUUCACAUUUUGUUUUUGGGGGGGAGGGGGGAGGGGAUGGUGGUGGUGCUUUUAUCAACUUCAACAACUAGAUAAUGACUGUGCUUAAGUUAUUGUAGGUUGCUCCAACAUUGGUUCCUCUUCUCAAAUUUUAUUUCCAUGAAGAAGUUAGAAAGGCAGCUGUUUCAGGUAUUAGCUAGACCAGUUCUUGAAUUUAAUUAUUUUCUCAUAUCAGAUUCUUUUGGAGCUCUCCUAAAAUUCUCUGUCAUUUAUCUACUUUCUGCAGCGAUGCCUGAGCUGUUGCGUUCAGCCAAAUUAGCUGUAGAGAAGGGACUUGCACAAGGUCAUAAUGAGUCCUAUAUCAAGCAGUUGUCUGAUUACAUAAUACCAGCAUUGGUUGAAGCACUACACAAGGUCUUGGAAUCUUUGGUUUAUUUGGUCUUCAGCAAUGAUCAAUCAUAUUUUUUGCUAUUUGUUUUGUUUAUUUUCAAUGCAAGUGACCUUGGUUUUGAUGCCUUUGAACAUAUUUGGUGUGCAGGAGCCUGAGGUAGAAAUUUGUGCAAGCAUUUUAGAUGCGUUAAAGGAAUGUGUGCAGGUUUGUGGCAUCAAUUGAUAUUUGUUCCGUGUAAUAGAACCCAUAAACAAAUGAAUGUGUUUCAUAUCUGUUCUUUUUCCUGCAUCUCUCCGUCCCAACUAGAUGUUAAUACAUUUUAUUUGCAUGUUACUGAUGUUAAUAAGUUGUUAACUCAAGUUACUGUUUUAGUUAUUUGCUAUACACUAUUACCUACAUGUGCAAUACCUACUUGCACCAGUGUAUUUUUCUUUUUGGUUCAAUUUCGUACUCCUCAAAGCUUCACUAAUUUUUAUUUUUUUAGUAUGUGAAAAUAACUGAUUUGUGUUUGGCACAAUAAAACUCUGAUCAGUUUUACUGUAUGGUUACUUUGAAAUUGCCGGUGGUGAUUCUUGCCUUUAAUAUGAAAAAUGUGUGCUUCUAGAUAAUAAUUUAUAUCUGUUGAUUCAAUUUCAAAAAGUAAACUUAAUAAUUUCUACCACAAAAUCAGAAAAUUGUUAUAAAUGACAUCAGUGUUUGUAUUUUGAAGGAAAAUAAAACCCAUGAAAGCAAUCUUGCCUUCAGGUUAUGUUUUAUAUUGACUUCACUAGUUGAUUGACUGUUCUUGAACUACGUGAUAAAAGAUUCUCCGUUGACAUCCAAUAUCCUUUCCUGGAUUUUAUGUUUUUAAUUUAGUCACUUAUAAUAUAAUCAAGUAUGUUGGAUACUAUACUGGAAGGAUGUUCAACACUUGUGUCUGCUUUAUGGAGUUCUACCACUAAAUAAGUGUUUUGAAGUUGCCUUUCAUUGGAGUUUUACCACUGUGCUGCAUACUGCUAUUGUGUUAUGAAGUUGGAUCUAUUUUAAUGUAGUAUUUCUUUCAGAUUUCUGGAGCACUUCUUGAUGAAAACCAAGUUAGGUGCAUCGUGGAUGAAAUCAAACAAGUGGUUACAGCCAGUUCAUCAAGAAAACAAGAGCGAGCAGAAAGGGCCAAGGCAGAGGACUUCGAUGCAGAAGAAGGAGAACUGCUUAAGGAAGAAAAUGAACAAGAAGAAGAACUUUUUGAUCUGGUAAGCUUUGAGAUUUAGGAUAUUUUGAUGAUCUUUUAGUGAAAAAGAAGGAACUGAACGCUGAGUUUUUCUUUUAAUGCUUUAUUGCUUUCCCUGAUGAAGGUCGGUGAUUGCUUGGGAUCUUUGAUUAAGACAUUCAAGGCAUCUUUCAUACCUUUCUUUGAUGAGCUUUCAACUUACGUAACACUUAUGCUGGUAAAUCUCCCUUCCUCUCGUUUUGUUUGUCUUGUUUAACUACUUCUAAAGCUAUGGUAGUUUUCCAUUUUCGUUUUGUACUGGCAGAUUGAGAUGUGCGCUGCAUGUGACUCAGAUUGUAAUGUGCGUAAAAUAUUUAGAAAAUUACUUGUUAUUCUUACUAAAAUAAAAUUAUAUAUCGAGAUUUAUAAUCAAUCUUUGUCAAUUAUUUGAUUUUAUUAUUAAGUAAGAAAUUUCCAGAAUAGAAAUUAUUGAUCAAUGAAAUAAAAAAUAAGGUCCAUGGAUGAGACAACAAUAGUACUAGUAACCAAUAACAUAAGAGAUGAUGAAAUAGAGUUAUUAAAUAAGAUUUUGAAAGGAGGGCUAUAAUAUUGAUAGAAAAGGAAAAGAAAACAGACUUAUUACUUCAAACAUCCUUACUUGUAUAUAUGUUGUAUGUAUAAUUGCAUAAGGGGGAUCCCAUAUCACUGUAACUGUGGCAGGAUCCAUAUCAACUUUCUAUGUGCUGUCCAUAUUAUUAAUACCAUCGAUAAUUCGUAUAUACAGUUGUUGAUAUUGUGUCGAUAUGCAUCCCAUCCUAGCUACAGUGAAAACAGAAUCCCAUUUAUGAAGGGCCCUACACACACACACACACACACACACACAUAUUUAUAUAUAUAGGAAACUGCUAUUGGCAUUCCGAAAAAGUCAGCAUGCCUUCCUCCCUUGCGCUUUUACAAAGGAGUGCAAGAUGACUUUUUUUGAAGUGCCAAUAAUAGCUUCAGGAAAGGGAUCCCCAGUUUUUGCAGGAAAUGGGGUCUGCUUGUGGGGCACACUCGACUUCAUAGAUCAACCUUGUAUAGACAUGCAUGAGUUUUAGUUAUACAUCACCACUGCUUACCCCUUCUCACACUGGAUGAGUUAAUCUGCUCCUUGAACAUCGGAGUUUUGACCAUCAUCAUCUGGUUGUGGACGGGUUUGCAUGAUUGUUGUGAAUUUAAUUUGAUGUUGACAGUAUCACACUAUUUAUCUCUGACUUGUGUGGGGUAUCCUUGAAGCUUUAGUUAUACAUCACCGCUGCGUACCCCUUCUCACACUGGAUGAGUUAAUCUGCUCCUUGAACAUCGGAGUUUUGACCAUCAUCAUCUGGUCAUGGGCGGGUUUGCAUGACUGUUGUGAAUUUAAUUUGAUGUUGACAGCAUCACACUAUUUAUUGUGCUACUUUGUAAAAAGAAGUUACUUUGGAUAUUUAACAUGAAAUGGAGUGUAAUUCGUAAAUUGACAUGUUAAAUCUAGGCAAACGAGAAUGAAGCAGCUAUGAAAAAAAUACAUGUUCUUAGUAUUUUUUGUAUUCCCUAACCUGUUCGACUUUAUGAUUUGAACUCAUGUACUUACAAGAAUUUUUCUGAUGGCUUAUUGAUGGAGCAGGGUAAGGAUAAAACUGCGGAAGAGAGGCGGAUUGCCAUUUGUAUAUUUGAUGAUAUGGCAGAGCAUUGCCGUGAAGCAGCUCUUAAGUAAGCAGUUUUGUUUGUAUUAUGUUGGAAGGGUGAUGAUUUUGGCAAUCCAAAAUCACUCAAAAAUAACCUCAUGCACUCCUCUUGUGUGAGAGAGUACAGGAGUGUGGGAGUUUGGAGUGCCUAAAUCAUCUCCCAUAUUGGAAUCUUGAUUCCUAUUUUCUCCUCUUGUAACCAAAUGACAAUUGGUGAAACAGAUACUAUGAUACCUACGUUCCUUUCCUAUUGGAAGCUUGCAAUGAUGAAAGUUCAGAUGUUCGUCAGGUUUGUACUCCUUUUGAUUGUGUUAUAGUGCAUAUUUAGUUAUCAUAGUGACAGUUAACAACAAAGAACAUCUACUUCAGGCUGCGGUUUAUGGGGUUGGUCUUUGCGCGGAGUAUGGUGGAUCUGUGUUUAAACCGCUUGUUGGAGGUAGGUUGCUUUUCUCUUGCUUCGUCUCUGUUUUUGUUUGGAGUUGUUUCCUUGUAUGUUUUCUGAUGGGUGUUAUUUUUCAAUUUUUGCUCUCUGCAGAAGCUCUUUCUAGGUUGGAUAUGGUAAUCAGGCACCCUAAUGCACAACAUUCUGACAAUGUGAUGGCAUAUGACAAUGCUGUUUCAGCUUUUGGGAAAAUUUGCCAGUUCCAUCGUGACAGUAUAGAUGCAACACAGGUAGAUGAUAUUCUUUUGCUUCAAACUCUGAUCUUUCGUAUUUUCUUGUUUUUACUUCUGUCGAUGUGUCUAUGCUUGGCGUCGUGCUAAAAAAUUGAUUGUUUGAGGCAUAAAUGGUGUACCAUUAACUUACUGCUCGUUCUGUACCAUAACCACUCAGAGUGAUGAAUGCAUCUUUUUUAUAUUGUGUCAUGUUCAAACCCAACAAUUCCUUAAUGCAGCCUACUCAAGCCCAACAAUCCCUUAAUGUUGUCGACUUAAUGCCUGUUUGGGACCGCUUCUGGGAGGGCUAAAACCCAUAGUGCUUCUGACAAUGUUUGGCAGAAAAAAUUAAAAGUGCUUCAGGGUCAUAAAAGCACUUACUGGAGAAACACUCAAGUGCUUCUUCUGGAAGCACCCGAUGCGCUUCUAGUAAACGCAUUUAUGAGCAGAAGUGCUUCCUACAAGUGCAAUCCUAAACAGGCCCUCCAUCAACUAAAUUGAUGUGUAUUCUGGGUUUUGAUCUCUUGGGAGGAAUUUCAGCAUGUCCAAUGCUCUCAGUAUGAUCAAAUGCCCCUAUUAAAUUGAUUUGUGUUCAUUAGAAGCCGUGUUGUGAUAAGAUAAACUAUGUCAUCCAUUGAAUCACACACAUCAUCUUUCAGUGCUGGGUUAGAGUCAACUCAAAGUUGGUUGAUGGUGGUGCUGCAGGGUUUGUAGAAUAAACAUAGUUGAUUGCUAGGUGAAGCUUUUCAGGGGACUAACACUAGGGUGGGUAAUUGGUAUCCAUUAGGUGUUAGGGAUGUGGUUGCAAUGGCGAUGGUGAUGGCGAUGGUGAUUUGGCCCAAUAUUUUUACCCCAUCCCAAAUCAGCACACUUGUAAAUAGAUAGCUGCAUUUGAUUAGUCGGCUAGUGCUUUGCUGAUUUACUGAUGUGAACGAAAAUAACUGAGAUGUCGAAUUGUUCCCCUUGGGGCCAUUUCAAUUCUGAAAUGAAGUCAAAUGAUUUUGUGUCAGAUGUUCUGUAUAUGUGCUACUGCUAUUUGUUCAACCUUUUACUAGCAUUAUACUUCCUCACAGUGCUUUUCUUUACAUUUUUUGUCACACACAACGAUUUUUUUCCCGAUCUAGCUAUUACCAUAUCAAGUCUGGUAGUGGAUAUUUAAUAUUGGCCUUUUUGUUGUUUCACAUAUCCAUUUUGUUUGGCAGCUCGUCCCAGCCUGGUUAAGCUGUUUACCUAUAAAAGGUGAUUUGAUUGAGGCCAAGGUUGUCCAUGACCAGCUAUGUUCAAUGGUUGAAAGGUAAAAAAACUGGAAUUUGGAGAAUAUUGAAUUGUUAAUAGAUAAAUGUUUGCAUGUCUUUUUAUGGUCAGUAUUAUUUUCCACUCUUCAAUGCCUAUUUAAUUGUCCAAGGUGAUUGUAUAAUGAAAAGUAAUUGCAUUGUUUACAGGUCAGAUAGAGAGCUUUUAGGGCCCAAUAAUCAAUAUCUUCCCAAAAUAGUUGCGGUUUUUGCUGAGGUAUGUAGUGGUUUUCUGAUGCACGUAUGAAUCUCAUUCAUUCUUGUGAAGUAUUAGGUCUAGGUCUCUCUCUCUCUCUCUCUCUCUCUCUCUCUCUCAAUUGGGCCAAUGUGCUGUAGGUUUUAUGCGCUGGUAAAGAUUUGGCAACAGAGCAAACUGCUAGUCGUAUGGUUAAUCUAUUAAGGCAGCUUCAACAAACUUUACCGCCCUCUACCCUAGAAUCAACCUGGUCAUCCUUGCAGCCCCAGCAACAGCUUGCAUUGCAAUUUAUACUCUCAUCAUAAUUCUUUAGCCUUCGCAUUGCCUUUUGUUUGUGGAAACUGCUGCUUCUGGUCAUUAUAUUUCCCUUUGCAUUGGUGGGAUAUGCAAUUUCAUUUAUCAGGAAAGCUCAUGGGGUGGGCACAUGAUUGUUUGGAAGCGGAUGUCUGGUCUGCGUUUUGAUAGUGCAUUCUUUUGAUUUUGUGUUCCAAAAUUAUUUCUCGUGGAUUGGCGCCAAUGCCUUGUUGCAUUUUUUAGUCGGCGGAGGAUGAAAAAAGUUAGGGAUAGAAAGUUUUGCAAUACAGUGUGCAUAUUAUAGACGAUCCAGUACUCCUAAGCUUCAAAAGAUUGAAGUCAACAAAAGGAUUGCGUACAAUUGUGGCUUUUAGUUUUGUAUGUUAAAGGUCAAGGUGUGUGAUGAAGACAUCUUGUAUCAGUUUUGGUGCUUUA